GCUAAGUUGAAAUACCAGAUCCCAUAUGAUCACUGAAGUUAAGCAAUAUCGAGACUGGUCAGUACCUAGAUGGGUGUCCACUUGGGAAUACU